rnacentral:rRNA from 1 species
AGAGUUUGAUCCUGGCUCAGGAUGAACGCUGGCGGCGUGCCUAACACAUGCAAGUCGAGCGAAGCGCUUUACUUCAAUUCUUUCGGGAAGAGGAGUGAAAUGA